CAAGUAAGGACCCCUCACCCUAUUUCCUAUCACGGUAUUAAAGUUCAAAAUGAUAAAAUGGUAUUUCUUGAAUUAACGCAUGUGUGAAAUUGCUUAAGGUUGCUAAUGGAGCCCGAGUCUAGUGUGAUUGAUGAUUUACUGUUAUUUGGCCUGUUUUACACUGUUUUACAGCUUUAAAUGCAUUAUGGGGUUUGAUGUGUUCAUUUUACAGAUUUGUGUGCAUAUACUACGUUUUUAUUAAUUAUGGGUUGAAUGACUGAAAAACUGAUAUUGUAUGUUGUCUGUUGGUAUGAAUUACGAUUUGCUUGUUUAAAUGUGAAUUGAUGAUGUUGAUUGAGGAAAAGGAAAAUGAAAGAUUGU
rnacentral:lncRNA from 1 species